rnacentral:rRNA from 1 species
AGAGUUUGAUCCUGGCUCAAAUUGAACGCUGGCGGCGUGCCUUACACGUGCAACUCAAAGGGCAGCACAGUUGCAACCCUGGUGGCGAGUGGCAAACGGGUGAGUAAUGCUUCCGAAUCUACCCUUCAGUGGGGAAUAACCAGACAAAUGAUUGUCUAAUACCCCAGACGCCCCUUGGGGGAAAGCGGGAGAUCUUCAGACCUCGUGCUAUAGAAAGAACCUGCCUCUGAUUAGCUAGUUGGUGACGUAAACGCUCACCAUGGCGACCAUCCGUAGCUGGUCUGAAAAGAUGAUACACCCACACCUGAUCUGAAACACCGUCCGGACCCCUACCGGAAGCAACAAUGGGGAAUAUUGCGCAAUGGGCCAAAGCCUGACUCACCCCUACCGCGUGUGUGAAGAACGCCUUCUGGUUGUAAAGCACUUUCUGUGGGGAGGAAAAACUGGUGGCUAAUAUCCAUCUUCCGUGACCCUACCCACAAAAGAAGCACCUAGACUAAUUCCCUGCCAGCAGCCGCGGUAAUACGGAACGUGCGAUCGUUAAUCAUCAAUUACUGUACGUAAACCGCACGUAGGUGGCUUGGUAAGUAGGAUGUUAAAGCCCCUGGCUCAACCUGGUAACUGCUUUCCAUACUGCUGAGCUACAGUACGAAAGAGGGUGGUGGAAUUCCAGGUGUAGCGAUGAAAUGCGUAUAUAUCAGGAGGAACAUCUGUGGCGAAGGUGACUUCCUGGACCGAAACUGACGCUGACACACGAAUGCGUGAGGAGCAAACAUGAUUAGAUACCCUGGUAGUUCACGCCGUAAACGAUGGGCCAUAGGUGUGGGGGGUUUUUAAUCCCUCCGUUCAGGAGAUAACGCAUUAAGCGCCCCGCGUGGGGAGUACGGCCGCAAGGUUAAUACUCAAAGGAAUUGACGGGGCCCCCCACAAGCAGCGGAGCGUGUGGUUUAAUUUGAUGUUACACGAAGAACCUCACCAAGGUUUGACAUGCAAGUGGUAGGAAGCCGAAAGGCUUACGACCCUUAGGGGAGCUUGCACAGAUGGUGCAUGUCAGUUGUCAGCUCGUGUCGUGAGAUGUUCGGUUAAGUCCGGUAACGAGCGCAACCCUAGCUGUGUGUUAUAUGUGUCACAUGGGACUGCCGGUCUUAAGCCGGAGGAAGGUGGGGAUGACGUCAAGUCAGCAUGUCCUCUAUGUCUUGGGCUACACACACGCUACAAUGGCCAACACAAUAGGUUGGUAAGCCGCGCAGGUGGCGCCAAUCCAUAAAUUUGGUCUCACGUUCAGACUGUCAGGAUGCAACUUGCCUAGCUUGAAGUACGGAGUUGCUAGUAUCCGCAGGUCAGCUAUAUCUGCGGUGAAUACGUUCCACGGGGUUUGUACACACCGCCAGUCACGUCAUGCGGAGUCGGCAACACCGGAAGUCCGGUAUCCUAACUCGCAAGGAAGGAGCCGUCGAGGGUGGGGUCGAUGACUGGGACGAAGUCGUAACAAGGUAACC